AAUCGGCAUUGCGGACGUGGGCGUCGCGGUCGGCGUUGCCGGUGUCGAAGGAGUCGAGGUCGAUGGUGGCGCCGAUGGUCGCGGCGCCGGUCUC
rnacentral:tRNA from 1 species